GACGAACGCUGGCGGCGUGCUUAACACAUGCCAGUCGAACGGAAAGGCCCUGCUUUUGUGGGGUGCUCGAGUGGCGAACGGGGGAGUAACACGUGAGUAACCUGCCCUUGACUUUGGGAUAACUUCAGGAAACUGGGGCUAAUACCGGAUAGGAGCUCCUGCUGCAUGGUGGGGGUUGGAAAGUUUCGGCGGUUGGGGAUGGACUCGCGGCUUAUCAGCUUGUUGGUGGGGUAGUGGCUUACCAAGGCUUUGACGGGUAGCCGGCCUGAGAGGGUGACCGGCCACAUUGGGACUGAGAUACGGCCCAGACUCCUACGGGAGGCAGCAGUGGGGAAUAUUGCACAAUGGGCGGAAGCCUGAUGCAGCAACGCCGCGUGCGGGAUGACGGCCUUCGGGUUGUAAACCGCUUUCGCCUGUGACGAAGCGUGAGCGACGGUAAUGGGUAAAGAAGCACCGGCUAACUACGUG
rnacentral:rRNA from 1 species